rnacentral:rRNA from 1 species
UACAGAGGUCUCGAGCGUUGUUCGGAUUCAUUGGGCGUAAAGGGUGCGUAGGUGGCGCUGUAAGUCAGGUGUGAAAUUUCGGAGCUUAACUCCGAAACUGCAUUUGAUACUGCGGUGCUUGAGGACUGGAGAGGAGACUGGAAUUUACGGUGCAGCAGUGAAAUGCGUAGAGAUCGUAAGGAAGACCAGUGGCGAAGGCGGGUCUCUGGACAGUUCCUGACACUGAGGCACGAAGGCCAGGGGAGCAAACGGG